rnacentral:lncRNA from 1 species
CUUGCAUUGGUUUCUUCGAUAAAACAACCCUAGGGCCCUCGAUGGGCCAAAAAAUCACGAAAAAUCGAGACUUACCGGCGGCGGAGCUCUCAAGUGCGGCGGCUUCUCUGGUGCGAGUCGUGAUUCGAUGUUUUACUCCGGUCAACCUGUAGAGAAAAGGACGGUGAUCACAGUGGUGUAAAAAUUGUAUCGAACGGGAACCAG